UACGAAGGGGGCUAGCGUUGCUCGGAAUUACUGGGCGUAAAGGGCGCGCAGGCGGCUCAUUUUGUCAGGCGUGAAAGCCCCGGGCUUAACCUGGGAACUGCGUUUGAUACGGAUGGGCUAGAGUUCGGGAGAGGAGAGUGGAAUUCCCAGUGUAGAGGUGAAAUUCGUAGAUAUUGGGAAGAACACCGGUGGCGAAGGCGGCUCUCUGGACCGAGACUGACGCUGAGGCGCGAAAGCGUGGGGAGCAAACAGG
rnacentral:rRNA from 1 species